ensembl:lncRNA
CAGGGAUGCUGGUCAGCCAAAGCAGGGAGGGAGAAGCCUGUGGCAGGCAUUUUCUCCACACCAUCCAUGGAAGCAUUGCUCUCAUGUGCAUCUCUGUUGCUAGCAAAUCACAGUUCCGGAAUGCAUUUCCCCAUCUGUGAAAAUGGGAGCAGUCAGAGGGUUCUGUGAGGAUAGAGGCGGUGAUACUUGGCAUAGAUUUGGAUCGUCCCAAAUCCCCUGUAAAAGCAGAAACAAAAUCCCACGAAGACAUUUACAACAAAGCUAGGAGACAAAGUAUCUUCAUGAACUCCAAAAACAAGCAAGGAUAGAUCAACAGCUGCAAGACCUGUUAGUCAUUGCUGUGUUUGUCGUAUAAAUAGAAGAGAACCAACCAGCAAGGAGUCUGACAGACCUGAGAGGUAUGCCUUUUCCAUAAAUCCGUCCUGAGGAAUCUAGUUGAGAAGAGCUUCAGGCAAAACACAAACAAAACAUGACUAGAGAGAAAUUGACAGAGGGCUAGUGGUAAGUAUUGAAUGUAUGUUUACUUGCAGAACGAAGGC